rnacentral:rRNA from 1 species
GAACGCUAGCUACAGGCUUAACACAUGCAAGUCGAGGGGCAGCAGGACGAUAGCUUGCUAUUGUCGCUGGCGACCGGCGCACGGGUGAGUAACGCGUAUCCAACUUCCCCUUAGUAGAGGAUAGCCCGGCGAAAGUCGGAUUAAUACUCUAUGUUGUAUUUUGAGGACAUCUGACGAAUACCAAAGAUUCAUCGCUAAGGGAUGGGGAUGCGUCUGAUUAGCUUGUUGGCGGGGUAACGGCCCACCAAGGCAACGAUCAGUAGGGGUUCUGAGAGGAAGGUCCCCCACAUUGGUACUGAGACACGGACCAAACUCCUACGGGAGGCAGCAGUGAGGAAUAUUGGUCAAUGGGCGAGAGCCUGAACCAGCCAAGUAGCGUGCAGGAAGACUGCCCUAUGGGUUGUAAACUGCUUUUAUCAGGGAAUAAAGUUCGGCACGUGUGCUGUUUUGUAUGUACCUGAUGAAUAAGGACCGGCUAAUUCCGUGCC